CAGCCGCCGCGGUAAUACGGAGGGGGCUAGCGUUGUUUGGAAUUACUGGGCGUAAAGCGCACGUAGGCGGCUAUGUAAGUCAGAGGUGAAAGCCCGGGGCUCAACCCCGGAACUGCCUUUGAAACUAGGUGACUAGAAUCUUGGAGAGGUCAGUGGAAUUCCGAGUGUAGAGGUGAAAUUCGUAGAUAUUCGGAAGAACACCAGUGGCGAAGGCGACCGACUGGACAAGUAUUGACGCUGAGGUGCGAAAGCGUGGGGAGCAAACAGGAUUAGAUACCCCCGUAGUCCCUGUCUCUUAUAC
rnacentral:rRNA from 1 species